UACAUAUAAGUGUUUAAUAGCACAAGAAGUUUUGAUCUUCUAAGAAUUGGUGGGACUCCAUUAUAUGUAA
rnacentral:tRNA from 1 species